rnacentral:rRNA from 11 species
UGGAAGGGCCAUCGCUCAACGGAUAAAAGGUACGCCGGGGAUAACAGGCUGAUGGCCCCCAAGAGUCCAUAUCGACGGGGUUGUUUGGCACCUCGAUGUCGGCUCAUCUCAUCCUGGGGCUGGAGCAGGUCCCAAGGGUACGGCUGUUCGCCGUUUAAAGAGGUACGUGAGCUGGGUUUAGAACGUCGUGAGACAGUUCGGUCCCUAUCUGCCGUGGGUGUAGGAUACUUGAGAGGAGUUGCCCCUAGUACGAGAGGACCGGGGUGAACGAUCCACUGGUGGACCUGUUGUGGCGCCAGCCGCAUUGCAGGGUAGCUAUGAUCGGAAAGGAUAACCGCUGAAGGCAUCUAAGCGGGAAGCCCCCCUCAAAACAAGGUAUCCCUGAGGGCCGUAGCAGACUACUACGUCGAUAGGCCGGAGAUGUAAGUGCAGUAAUGCAUUCAGUUGACCGGUACUAAUUGCCCGAUA